AGUAAGUGUGGAUAUGAACAUUAUAGCAAAAGAGGAUGAAAUAGUUCCUGAAUGUUGUGCUGGUGCCUUACCUCCCUCCCUACCACCCCACACCUGGGCUUCCUCAGUCUCUGGCCUGUAGACCUCAUGAUGUCCUCUGUGGUGACCUCUUUCUCUCCAGUAACAGCAGCAUUCGCUUCAGUAUACUAAGGUUGGAACAAGAGGGCUGCCUGAAAGCUUUCACCCUCCAUGCUGGAGAGACAACCCGUGCCUGAUGCUACCUUUCCAGAACAUCUUUCUCAGAUAUUCUAAAGCGACUAAAUGGACAAAGCGUCUUAAAAGGACAGCCUACUGUGCUUCGUAAUCCAAGUGCGGCCGCGCGGUCAGA